GGUUUCUUUUUUUUUUUUGCGCAUGCGUUCUGAGACAAAAACAACGGGAAGCCUCAAGGGCCAAACUAGAAGGAAAACGUUGGCUUAUAAAACAAGAAACUGAAGCCAGAAAAUCGCCUGAAGUUUCGAGCACAUUUAUGUUAUCCAAAUUUAAGUGUUUGUAUGUCUCACUGUAUUCUUGUGAGAAUAUGAACUUGUGAGGACAGGAACACACUGGGAGAACAUCUCAGAUGGCAAGCCAGAGAAUGGAGUUAUGCAGCUGCACAGGACUUCUGAGACAAGACUGCAAGUCUCCCCACCUAUAAGAUAAUAUAUUUCUGUUAUUUGAAAGCACCCAGUUUGUGGUACUCUGCCUAGGAAACUAAAACUUAUAAUUAUUAUAAAUAUUAUCUUGACAUCAAAUCAUAAUUAUCAGAUUCAGUGUAUUUCACACCACUAAGCCAACAUACUUAUCUUCUAUUUAAAAGAUUCUCUGAAAUACAGCUGCAUGAGUGGCAGCUCACUGUUUUGUAUAUAUGUGUGUGCACGCACACACACAUUGGAAAUGAGAAGGUUACUGUCCACCCUGUCCCCAGUGGCUAUAGCUGAGGAGGGAAAUUAGAAGCUGAGGUACCUAGAGGGACUUUUAACUUAUUGGCUUUUAAAAAAUAUUAUUUUUUUAUCAUUAAAAAGAAAAAAGAGUUUGUCUAUCCCUCUCAUGCUCCCUUUCCCUAUCCCACUCUGCAUCAGAUUCCUUAUAUCAAAGAAAACUUUCAGCAUUUGGAUUUCUGGGAUUGGCUAACUUCACUUAGCAUUAUCUUCUCUAACUCUAUAGACAAACUCUAGAUAGGGCAGAGUUGUUGGAGGGGAAGGGAGGGGCAUGGGGUUAUAAAUGAUGUAGAAUGUGAUGAUCAUUAUUAUCCAAAGUACAUGUAUAAAGACACGAAUUGGUGUGACUAUACUUUGUGUACAAAUAGAAAUAUGAAAAAUUGUGCUCUAUGUGUGUAAUAAGAAUUGUAAUGCAUUCUGCUGUCAUAUAUAAAUAAAGAAAAAAGAAUAAAAAAGUGUUAUUCUAGAUUGGAAAGCCAGUAGAAAAGUAACAAAUUCUUGGAUUGUGCUCCUAUUUCACUUAAAAUAUUCAUUUUAAGGUAA